rnacentral:snRNA from 1 species
GUGCUCACUUUGGCAGUACAUAUACUAAAAUUGGAAUGAUACAGAGAAGAUUAGCAUGGCCCCUGCACAA